rnacentral:lncRNA from 14 species
CCGAGCGGGACCCCGCGCAGCGGCGCGAUGACCGCGGGCAGCGGAGCCGCGGCCGGCACCGCCACCUCCGCCCUCUGCCUGCUCCUGUCGCUCACCUCCGUGGCCGUGUGCCUGCUGCUGGGGGCCAAGACGGCGGAGCUGCAGGGCCGGCUGGCAGCCCUGGAGGAGCGCGGCCCCGGGCUGGACGCGCUGCAGCCCCGCGUGGAGCAGCUCUUCCGAGAGAAAAUGGGUGAAGGACUGGCAAAGCUGCGGACGGCGAGAGAGGCUCCAUCAGACUGCAUGUGCCCCCCAGGCCCUCCGGGGAGGCGAGGGAAGCCCGGCAGGCGCGGAGAACCAGGACCUGCAGGAAAGCAGAUCCAGCGUGUUUUCCUGCUGCAUCCGUUUUACUGGCUCUCUGAUGUGGAG